CAGAAACCAACUGUUGAGGUUCUAUCUCAACAUUCUCUAGAUUCAGAUGUGAGCCAUAAACCGACUUCAUCCCUCCAACAGAUUGACAGCAGGACAAAUCGCUGGAAGUGGGUAUGUCUCAAGCUUCUUCAACGUGGUCCACUCCAAAGCGAGCUGCAAAGGUGAAGAAGUGGAAGCAGUUGAAUGACACAUGUUGCAUUUUAUAACUGGCAACAAAGUACCAGGUAAAAAAGAUUGUGAAGCCUCCCUCCACAAAGAACUAGUAGCUCUACAGGACAGAGAUUCCCUUGCCAUCAAGUACUACAUCCAUAACAGAAUCAUAUUAAAAAAAGGAGAAUUUUUUUUUCCACAUCUGCUGUGGUAGUUUGAGUAUGUUACCAGCAAUUAAAAAAGCAAGAUAAAGAGCAAGCGUUUUGUGUUUAUUCCAGAUAAUUGUUAGCGACAAAAUCCACAAAAACAAUUCAGUUACACUUAAUCGACAAUUACAUUUUUACCCAUGUUUCUUUUAAACUCUUCUUGGUUUUAGAUUACAGUAGCAUGGGAUUGGGAUUUUUUUUUAAAUGACAACACAUCAACUAAACCAACUCAGGUUGUUUUGUUAAGUCUCUGAUGUCAUUAGCCUCAUAUGUCACAUGAACCUGAAAUCUUUAACACUCUGUGAUGUCAUGGUUGUCAUAUUUCACAAACUUGAAAUCUUAAACACUCUGUGACGUCAUGGUCAUCAUAUGUCACAUGAACUUGAAAUCUUA